GAGGGGAGAGGGGGUAAACAUGCAAGUCGAUUCAAGUUACCUUCGGGUAAUGAGGGUGGCGGACGGGUGAGUAACGCGUAAGGAACUUGCCUCUUGGACUGGGACAACUGUUGGAAACGACAGCUAAUACCGGAUAUUAUGAGAUUCUCGCAUGAGAAACUUAUGAAAGCUAUAUGCGCCAAGAGAGAGCCUUGCGUUCCAUUAGCUAGUUGGUGGGGUAACGGCCCACCAAGGCGACGAUGGAUAGCCGGCCUGAGAGGGUGAACGGCCACAAGGGGACUGAGACACGGCCCUUACUCCUACGGGAGGCAGCAGUGGGGAAUAUUGGACAAUGGGCCACAAGCCUGAUCCAGCAAUUCUGUGUGCACGAUGAAGGUCUUCGGAUUGUAAAGUGCUUUCAGUUGGGAAGAAGAAAGUGACGGUACCAGCAGAAGAAGCGACGGCUAAAUACGUGCCAGCAGCCGCGGUAAUACGUAUGUCGCAAGCGUUAUCCGGAUUUAUUGGGCGUAAAGCGCGUCUAGGCGGAAAAAUAAGUCUGAUGUUAAAAUGCGGGGCUCAACUCCGUAUUGCGUUGGAAACUGUUUUUCUAGAGUACUGGAGAGGUGGGCGGAACUACAAGUGUAGAGGUGAAAUUCGUAGAUAUUUGUGGGAAUGCCGAUGGAGAAGUCAGCUCACUGGACAGAUACUGACGCUGAAGCGCGAAAGCGUGGGGAGCAAACAGGAUUAGAUACCCUGGUAGUCCACGCCGUAAACGAUGAUCACUAGGUGUUGGGGGUCGAACCUCAGCGCCCAAGCUAACGCGAUAAGUGAUCCGCCUGGGGAGUACGCACGCAAGUGUGAAACUCAAAGGAAUUGACGGGGACCCGCACAAGCGGUGGAGCAUGUGGUUUAAUUCGACGCAACGCGAGAAACCUUACCAGCGUUUGACAUCCUAAGAAGUUUCCAGAGAUGGAUUCAUGCCGGCUUGCCGGAACUUAGUGACAGGUGGUGCAUGGCUGUCGUCAGCUCGUGUCGUGAAAUGUUGGGUUAAGUCCCGCAACGAGCGCAGCCCCUAUUGUAGGUUGCUACCAUUAAGUUGAUCACUCAGGCUAUACUGCCUGCAAUGAGCAGGAGGGAGGGUGGGGAUGAGGUCAGAUCACCUAGCCCUUUAGUCGCGUGUGGUCACCAGUAGCUAGAUUAGCGUAGGUGCGAGAAGUUACCGACUCACAGA
rnacentral:rRNA from 1 species